rnacentral:misc_RNA from 1 species
UGCAGAGAGUGCAAACGUUGUUCGGAAUUACUGGGCUUAAAGCGCACGUAGGCUGCGUCGUAAGUGUCAGGUGAAAUCCCACGGCUCACCCGUGGAACUGCCUGGCAGACUGCGAUGCUAGAGUGUGGUAGGGGAGAGCGGAACUCUUGGUGGGGCGGUGAAAUGCGUAGAUAUCAAGAGGAACACCGGUGGCGAAGGCGGCUCUCUGGUCCACAACUGACGCUGAGGUGCGAAAGCUAGGGGAGCAAACGGG